CCAGCGGCAGCUACCAUGCAGCCGAGCGGUAGAGUUUCUUCGGGAACUUGAGAGCGGCGUACGGGUGCGGAACACGUGUGCAACCUGCCUUUAUCAGGGGGAUAGCCUUUCGAAAGGAAGAUUAAUACCCCAUAAUAUUUAGAAUGGCAUCAUUUUAAAUUGAAAACUCCGGUGGAUAGAGAUGGGCACGCGCAAGAUUAGAUAGUUGGUGAGGUAACGGCUCACCAAGUCUGCGAUCUUUAGGGGGCCUGAGAGGGUGAUCCCCCACACUGGUACUGAGACACGGACCAGACUCCUACGGGAGGCAGCAGUGAGGAAUAUUGGACAAUGGGUGCGAGCCUGAUCCAGCCAUCCCGCGUGAAGGACGACGGCCCUAUGGGUUGUAAACUUCUUUUGUAUAGGGAUAAACCUACCCUCGUGAGGGUAGCUGAAGGUACUAUACGAAUAAGCACCGGCUAACUCCGUGCCAGCAGCCGCGGUAAUACGGAGGGUGCAAGCGUUAUCCGGAUUUAUUGGGUUUAAAGGGUCCGUAGGCGGAUCUGUAAGUCAGUGGUGAAAUCUCACAGCUUAACUGUGAAACUGCCAUUGAUACUGCAGGUCUUGAGUGUUGUUGAAGUAGCUGGAAUAAGUAGUGUAGCGGUGAAAUGCAUAGAUAUUACUUAGAACACCAAUUGCGAAGGCAGGUUACUAAGCAACAACUGACGCUGAUGGACGAAAGCGUGGGGAGCGAACAGGAUUAGAUACCCUGGUAGUCCACGCCGUAAACGAUGCUAACUCGUUUUUGGAUUUUCGGAUUCAGAGACUAAGCGAAAGUGAUAAGUUAGCCACCUGGGGAGUACGUUCGCAAGAAUGAAACUCAAAGGAAUUGACGGGGGCCCGCACAAGCGGUGGAUUAUGUGGUUUAAUUCGAUGAUACGCGAGGAACCUUACCAAGGCUUAAAUGGGAAAU
rnacentral:rRNA from 1 species